AUACGGAGGGUACGAACGUUAAUCGGAAUUACUGGGCGUAAAGCGCGCGUAGGUGGUUUUUUAAGUGGGAUGUGAAAGCCCUGGGCUCAACCUGGGAACUGCAUCUGAUACUGUUCGUCUAGAGUACGGGAGAGGGAAGUGGAAUUUCCGGUGUAGCGGUGAAAUGCGUAGAUAUCGGAAGGAACACCAGUGGCGAAGGCGACUUUCUGGCCUGAUACUGACACUGAGGUGCGAAAGCGUGGGGAGCAAACAGGAUUAGAUACCCCAGUAGUCC
rnacentral:rRNA from 1 species